AGCAACCAAAUAAGCUUUUAAAAAUAUAUGCAAGCUUUGUUACCAAUUACCAUAUCAAAUACCGAGCUGAAGGAUGACCCACCAUUCUAUUCAGGUGAGCAUCACCUUGAUUGCAACAGGUUUCAAACGCCAGGAAGAAAUUGAUAGCCGCAUAUCCCAGGGAGCACAGCUGGGUGGUCCUGACAACCUCGGCGCCGGUAGACGCACCAGCUCUUCUCUCGCCGAAGGAACCACAUUCGAGAUUCCAGAGUUUCUAAAAAAGAAAGGGAGAUUACGCUAUCCAAGAGCUUGAUAAAUUUCGAUCAGUAGCUACCAUUCAGUUUUAUUUCUUUUAUGUUUUUAUACGUCACCAGCUGGUUCUGUGCAUAUUCAUUAUUCGUUGUUCUGUUCUUUCCUCCUUUUUUCUAUUUGGAUUUGAACUAGUAAAACUGUGAAAGCUCUGGGUAAUGAUGCUUGUGUUUUGACUUCCAUAUUGUUUAGUUUGAUUGGACAAAGGAACCAAUGUAAAAAAUAGAUUUGUUUUUUUCAUUUUGCUGAAAAUGACUAGUUAGCUUUACA